GGCGUGUCCCUUCGGGCUCCCACAGUCAUAACUCAAAAGCUGAGGCCCCUCAAGCACUGAAAUCUGAACCACUCAUGUGCAACUGGAAGCCCGUGCCCCUCUGCUGUUUCCCAGGCUUCUCAUCGUUGGGUGACUCUGCCGUGACACCUCAGGGACUGGUGAUGGGUCGGGAUCUGCUUCCCCGCAAGCUGAGUGGCGUGGCUGGCUUUGUAUCUAGAGUCCUCCUGGUCCCCCUCAAAAGCUUCCCUGCACCAGCCUUGCUGCCAGACCCUCAGGAGCAUAGGGUGCUGUGGCCUCUGCAUGCCUCGCUGGACCGAGCCAGCACCACCUUCCCCGUCUGCUGCUUCUGGUUUACCAAGGGCCGGAAAGGCAAGGCCCCAGGCUCGAGGGUUUGUGCAAAGGGAAGUGGAGUCCACGCAGGGCCUGGCAAACUCCUCUGUGAUCAAGUGGACCUUGGAGAGCAUGGACCUUGGACCACUGGCUUUGAUGUUGCUUAGCACAGGCUGCUCUUUGCAUCUUGAUUUGGCCAUGGGUGGUUCAUGAAUCCAUUUGAAGGCAUGAAAAUGUGGUGCCUAAAAAUGCACGUGUUGAAGUCAAACAGCAUGGGAUCCAGCCCUGUUCUUCUGCUCAGGCCGGUGUGACCCUAGACAAGCGAUUACGUUCAUCUAAGCCUCGGUUUCUUCAGCUGUACUAUGGGAAUAACAACUGUCUCUUGUUCCCAGAGUGCUGAUGAGGAUUGAGUGUGCUUAUCCGUGUAAAGAGACUGGCUACGCCUGCUGUUUGUUUAUUUAUUUAUUUAUUGAGAUAGGGUCUCACUACGUCACCCAGGCUGGAGUGCAGUGAUGCAAUCUCAGCUCACUGCAACCUCCGCCUCCUGAGCUCAAGUGAUCCUCCAACCUCAGCCUCCCAAGUAGCUGGGACCACAGACAUGCGCCACCAUGCCAGCUAAUUUGUUGUAUUUUUGGUAAAGAUGGGUUUUUGCCAUGUUGCCCAGGCAGGUGGCAAACUCCUGAGCUCAAGCAAUCUGCCUACCUCGGUCUCCCAAAGUGCUGGGUUACAGGUAUGAGGCACCAUGCCUGGCCACCUGCUGUUUAAUUAGUGCUAACUGUGUGUGUGUGUGUGUGCGCAUGUAUGUGCACGCGUAUGUGGCCCACAGAGAGUUUCAGCUGUGCCCAGCAGGGCCAGGCUCUACACGAAGCCCUUUACACACACUGCCACAUGAAGAAAGAGCUUCCAUUAUCUAUCAUUAAGGAUGAGAAAAUUGAGACUCAGCAAGGCUUACUGACUUUUCCAAUAUCCAACCCAGCUACCUGAUUUGUGUCUCCAAACCCUCAGCCACCCGCUACCAAGCCUGACUCAUCAAGUAUCGCACAAGGGAAAUGGAUUUUCUACAAAAUAAGAAAACGCAGGCUGCGCAGUGGCUCACACCUAUAAUCUCAGCACUUUGGGAGGCCGAGGAGGGUGGAUCACGAGGUCAGGAGAUCGAGACCAUCCUAGCCAACAUGAUGAAACCCUGUCUCUACUAAAAAUACAAAAAUUAGCCGGGCGUGUUGGUGUGCACCUGUAGUCUCAGCUACUCGGGAGGCUGAGGCAGGAGAAUGGCUUGAACCCGGGAGGUGGAGGUUGCAGUGAGCCGAGACUGCGCCACUGCACUCCAGCCUGGUGAUGGAGCGAGACUCCGUCUCAAAAAAAAAGAAAAAAAAGAAAAAA
ensembl:lncRNA